rnacentral:rRNA from 1 species
AGCGAACGUUUGCGGCGGGCCUAACACAUGCAAGUCGAACGCACUAGCAAUAGUGAGUGGCGCACGGGUGCGUAACACGUGGGUAAUCAACCCUUCAGCCUGGGAUAACGACUCGAAAGGGUCGCUAAUACCGGAUACGGCGCGAGAGGCUUCGGCUUCUCACGAGAAAGCCACGCAAGGGGCACUGAAGGACGAGCCUGCGGCCCAUCAGCUAGUUGGUGAGGUAAGAGCUCACCAAGGCUAAGACGGGUAGCCGGUCUGAGAGGAUGAUCAGCCACACUGGAACUGAGACACGGUCCAGACUCCUACGGGAGGCAGUAGUGGGGAAUAUUGCGCAAUGGGCGAAAGCCUGACGCAGCCACGCCGCGUGAGCGAUGAAGGCCUUCGGGUCGUAAAGCUCUGUGGGGAGAGACGAAGAAGCCUGUGAAGAGCAGGCCUUGACGGUAGUCUCCUUAGCAAGCACCGGCUAACUCCGUGCCAGCA